UUACGGCUACAUCACGUUGAAACAACGGUUCUGGUAUGAUCACCGAAAUUAAGCAACGUUGAGCCUGGGCAGUACCUAGAUGGGUUACCGCUUUGGAAUACCAAGUUCUGUA